rnacentral:rRNA from 1 species
AGUGAACGCUGGCGGUAGGCCUAACACAUGCAAGUCGAACGGCAGCACAGUAAGAGCUUGCUCUUACGGGUGGCGAGUGGCGGACGGGUGAGGAAUACAUCGGAAUCUACUUUUUCGUGGGGGAUAACGUAGGGAAACUUACGCUAAUACCGCAUACGACCUACGGGUGAAAGCAGGGGAUCUUCGGACCUUGCGCGAUUGAAUGAGCCGAUGUCGGAUUAGCUAGUUGGCGGGGUAAAGGCCCACCAAGGCGACGAUCCGUAGCUGGUCUGAGAGGAUGAUCAGCCACACUGGAACUGAGACACGGUCCAGACUCCUACGGGAGGCAGCAGUGGGGAGUAUUGGACAAUGGGCGCAAGCCUGAUCCAGCCAUACCGCGUGGGUGAAGAAGGCCUUCGGGUUGUAAAGCCCUUUUGUCGGGAAAGAAAAGCAGCAGGUUAAUACCCCGCUGUUCUGACGGUACCCAAAGAAUAAGCACCGGCUAACUUCGUG